UGCAGUAUUAUGUAUUAGCACUUCGAAGUUCUAUAUGUUUUACUAUUAACCUAUGUAAAUUCAGGCAAUUUCAAUUCAAAAUAUUUUUUAUUACCAGACCCGUACAAUCACAAUGAUUGCAAAUAUAAAUACUAAGCAAAUAGAAAUUUCAGGUUUAAGACUUCGUCUGGUGGGUUUUUUUGUCUACUGGUCAAAAUUCCAUUCCAAAGAUUCUGUUGCUUUGUUCAUGAAAGAACACAAUUUACAGAGUUACUUCCCCUAGCAGAACUCUUUUGAUGUAAACAAUACUGAUGUCAUGCAUGUGGCAGACAAUAUUGAACUGUAGUUUUUCAAUCUUAUCUGACGAUGAAUGAGGGAAUUUACAGUAUUCUAUGGAUGAAAAGACAACACGGUUAUUGGACAAUGUAAUAGAAUUGUUGAACCACUUCCCUAGGAUUAAAUAUUCAAAAUUAGACAAAAAUCAAGUCGGAGGGAAAAUUGACUUUUUACAAUAUUGGGAUCUUUUCCCACUUACAUGAACAUUCAUACUUUGUUUGUCCAAAACACCAACAAACCCUAGGAAUAUGCAUGAGAUUAAGAGAAGGAAUGUUGGUUGUACACAACCGUCUCACAAAGGAAGGAUCAAAGCCAGGCAGAGCAGUGUCAAUCCAGAUGAGCAGGGCCUUUUUCUAGGUUCUAAACACAAGGGAUUUGCUGAAUUGCAGUCGUGAUUUGUUAAGACACAUACCUUUGAUAUUUGAAAGAACUGUUUACAGAAGACUAUUGAAUUGCACAGGAUUGAUGAUUAAAAGAUUCAACUACAGUUCAAUGAGGCUCAGCAUAUUGUGUUGCCAAUAUUGCGCACUUGAGUAGGAAGUUCAAAAUGUUUGUAGCAAAUGGACAUAAGUAAAUAGCGUGCCUUCAAAUUGACCAACAUUUCUGAAGUGAAGGAUGACAACUUAGCCUCUAUUUGUUGGGAAAUUUUAUAACCAUGGUUGAACCUAAAGAACAGAUAUACAAAACCUGAAUGACAGAUAAAAUAAUAAGACAUGAUAAAUAUAAGAAGACUCUGAAAAGUCUGAAAACUUAAAUCAGGAAUUACAUGUAUGUGACAGAAGUUUUUAAAAACAUUUGAAUGUUGAGAUUGGUUGAGUAUCUCAAUGAUAAGAACUUGCAUUCUGCAAUCAGAAUUUGGAAGAGCUUUUCCUGUAUUAGCAUAAAUAAAUCUCUAAUUUGGUCAGUUACUUUUAAAAAUAUUAUAAUAAAUGAAUGCAAUAAUUUG